ensembl:lncRNA
CUUAGUGCUGCGGACACAGUUCCCAGAUGCAUCAUCACCUCAGGCUACUAGAAAUUAUCAUUCUGACACCACAAUCCUCCAACACAGGGUCUCCCAACUCUAAUGUAAAUCAUUGAUUCAGACUAUAACAUUGUAUUUUGAUGAGAUUGUAAGUCCCUGUAAGCUUUUCCUUAUUUUUCAAGAUGCUCUGUCAAUAAAAAUACUAGUGAGAUGAUAUUUAAACCACGUAACAUACAGUCAGUGCUUUAAACCAAGCUUUUCUAACCCACAGCCUGCAGUCCGCAUGCUCAGGAUGGCUUGGAAUGCAUCCCAACACAAUCCCUACACUUUCUUAAAACAUUGAGGUCCUCUAUUUUUUUUUUUUUUUUUUUUUAGCUCAUCAACUGUCCUUAGUGUUAGUGUAUUUAGUGUGUGGCCUAAGACAGUUGUGGCACAGGGAAGCCAAAAGAUUGGACAUCCUUGAUUUAAAGAAAACAUUCAAGACCAUGUUCUUACAAUGCACGACGUACCUGAACAGAUUAUUCCUGUCUUCUCUAGCCAGGUGUAAAUACCUGGCUCUUGUGUCAUUGUGGCUGAGCUUCAUGGCCGUCAGGAACAGCUCGGGAAGAGAUGUCACCUGAGUUAACCAGAAAAACACGAGCAGUUAAACGUAGACAAAAUAGCCUGUGAAAUGGUGAUCUUCGACACACUGAGAAAACUGGCUUUUCUGCCUGAAAUUAGAUGAUGCCGGGAAGCCAGUAUUUCAGAGCUGGAGAGAACAGAACCAUCCUGUCCAAGUCCCUUAUCCUACAAACAAGGAAAGGAAGACCUAAAGAAGGCCGAUGAGAAUGUGUGUGUGUAUAUGUAUAUUUUUGAGUGCUUAUUAUUGGCUAGGUAUUUUCCAUUUUUUUAUUUUUUAAAUUUUUUAUUCUUUUUUGGCUAGGCAUUUUCUAAUCAUGUCACAUAGAAUCCUGUGACGGAGGUAUUCUCAUCCUCAUUUACAGAUGAAACAACUGAGGCUCAGGGUGAUGAAACAAGCUGCCCGAAUCAGAGCCAGGAUUCGCCCUGGUGUCUGCCCUUCCCACGGUACUGUGCUGCACCUAAGUAACACAGCACCCUUUCCAACACCUGAUGUGUCCCUAAACAGGGUUGAUAACUAAUUCUACAUCACAGGAUUCAGAACUGUACCCUUUUGGAGCCGAUGUCUGUAAUCGAGGUAUUCCGCCUCGUCAGUUCACUUUAAGCGUGUUUAGAAGGUUUUCUUUAUCCUAGUUGGAACCUGUGGCUAUAGUUUGUUUUCGCUGCUGAGGAAUAUUCCAUGAUGGAAACUGUAAUUCAUCUGUUUUUCAUAUCGAUGGGCAUUUGGAUUAUUUUGGGAGGGUGUGUAUGUCUAUUCAGCCUUCAUUUUUUCAGGAUUUUUUGUAGAAGAUAAUGUAACAGUGUAACAUCCUCUGCUAGGGAACCAACACGAACCCUGAUUACAGCCUCACAGACACUCACACCUUGUUACCAAUACACAGAACCAUUUUCUUAAGUUGAAACACAGUAGCAGAACCUGAAGCCAUGUGAAUGGGUCCUCUGAUCUUACACUUGGAAUUCACUUUUUAUUACUCUGUCUGCUAAUUAGGAAGCAUAUCAAUUAUACAGAAAUCUGAGAAUGUAUAAUUAUACGUUUAUAACAGAAGAAAACUUAUUUUUAAUACCCCAGAACACAUGGCUAUGUUUUUCCCUCAUGCCCCACCGUUUUCUUUGCUUGAAAUGCGAAAUGACACUUGAAUGCAGUUUUCUAGAGACUGUUAGACUGGCAUAGUUCUUCAGAGACAGAGGAUGUAAAGCACAUGGAGAAUUUCUGUUUGUGGAAUGUGAUUUCCUGGUGGCCUCAUUCAGGCUGCCACUGCCUUCCCCUCUGGCCGCCUGCACCGUGGGACGUCUGAGGAGGUCCCUGUUUCAUCCUCUGGAAGUUCUAGAAAGGAAGGAGAGGAGGGCGUGCAGGGUGUGGUACCUUUGUGUUGGUCCUUCGAGCUAUUAUUUGGAGUUUCGGCUGCCUUCCUGGUUGCUGCCUUUAUGUCCCUAGCUCGUGGCUUCGUCCU